CUAGUGGCGGACGGGUGAGUAACGCGUGGGUAACCUGCCUCAUACAGGGGGAUAGCAGUUGGAAACGACUGAUAACACCGCAUAAGCGCACGGUAUCGCAUGAGUACAGUGUGAAAAUAUUUAUAGGUAUGAGAUGGACCCCGCGUCUGAUUAGCUAGGUUGGGUGGGGUAACCGCCCACCAAGGCGACGAUCAGUAGCCGGCCUGAGAGGGCGGACGGCCACAUUGGGGACUGAGACACGGCCCAAACUCCUACGGGAGGCAGCAGUGGGGGAUAUUGCACAAUGGGCGAAAGCCUGAUGCAGCGACGCCGCCGUGAGUGAAGAAGUAUUUCGGUAUGUAAAGCUCUAUCAGCAGGGAAGAAAGACCUCGUAAGAGGGGAUGACGGUACCUGAGUAAGAAGCCCCGGCUAACUACGUGCCAGCCGCUGC
rnacentral:rRNA from 1 species